rnacentral:lncRNA from 1 species
UCUUCUUGGCCCGAUGCCCGAGUCCACGGCCCGAAGCCUUCUGUCGAUACGUCGACCGAUCUACCGGCCCGACGUCCAAUCUUCUGACAUGUUCCUCCGGCACAACAUGAUUUUCCUGCUUUAAUUGUCUCAUCCUGAUCGAAGCAUCCUGCGUCACUCAAAACGCAGAUUAAAUCAUAAACAUAUAUCAAGUAGUUUCAUCAUCAAAAUACGAGAUUCAACA